GUAGGCGAUGGGUGCGGGUUGGGUCUAGUGCAGCGGAAAGCUGCUCCUGCCUGUGAUAGUUUGGCAGGGGUGGGCGAGACGGCGGAAGCUUGGAAGCGGUGAAUAGGCAUUCCUCUUCUGCCAGUGGUGGGUUCUUUCUUCAGAUGUUUCUUCGCAUAAACGGCUCCAUGUGAUUUUAUAAGGUAAGUGCCGUGGGCUUCGUACUGCCAGGAAGCUGUGCAGUCAUCGCCUACAGCGCAGGCGCCUCCCUCCUGCCACUCACCCAUGCUGCCACACCGCUUUCCAGAGAAAGACCCACAAGUCCCCACGUUCCCUCCGUGCAGCCUUGGAGGACCCCGCAGGACAACUCGCCGCGCCUGACUCUUAACCGAGAUGACUGAGCGGACCAGAGUAGUACCCUAUCAGUGAUACAUGUGGAAUAAUCGCGGGAUCAAAAAUGGCAUGACAAACAGUACAAAAAGGCUUACCUGGGCACUGCUCUGAAGGCCAACCCCUUUGGUGGUGCUUCUCAUGCCAAAGUGGCAUGGAGGCCAAGCCAAAUUCAGCCAUCAGGAGAUGUGUCAGAGUCCAGCUUAUAAAAAUGGCAAGAAAAUAGCAGCUUUUGUUCCUAAUGAUGGUUGUUUGAAUUUCAUUGAGAAUGAUGAAGUCCUGGUAGCUGGCUUUGGUCGGAAGGGUCAUGCUGUUGGUGACAUCCCGGGAGUUCGCUUCAAAGUUGCCAGUGUUUCUCUAUUAGCUUUGUACAAAGGCAAGAAAGAGAGACCAAGAUCGUAAUUCCUGUGAUGCUGCUUAAGUCUCUAGUAAUCUUCAUCUAACAAAGGGCUUCUAUGGACUGUUGUAUAAUUGUGUAGUUUUUUUUAUAACAUGGAGGAAUUAUCCUGUAAAGAACUGACUAUCUUGAGCAGCUUGGGUUAUAUGAAUCUUCUGAAUGGACUCUCACAUCCUGAUUGCAAACUUAUUUAAAGUAGCCCCAGUGAAUUCACUGAAGCCUAUUGACUAGUAGAUACAUAUAGCAUUGCAGUCUAACAGUGCAAUCUGCGCAGAAUAGGGUAAUUUUCUAUAAGAUUGCACCAUAAAUUGCAAAAGACUAUUUUUUAACCAAAGAAAUAAAACUAAUUUAAAUCUCAAAAUAUUAAUGAGCUUUAAAGAAAUAUUGAACUGUGAAAAGACACAGAACCAUAUCAGUUUCGUUAACUGUGUAACUGAAAGGGUGGAAGAAUUUCUGUCAGUAGGAAAACGCUGGAAAAUUUAAGCUCAUACAUGAGUCUUGCAGCAAUCAUAGAGGCUUGAUGUGAUGUAUUCCCAUUGAUUAGUUUAAAAAUGUGAUGUAGUUUAUGUUGUUCUAUUAAAACCUGUGAGAUUUGAUGCA